GGUUUCUUCAGCCCGAAGUGGACAUCGAGGACAGGCGGAGAUGGGCUCCCAGGGGUGGGGCAAGAAA
rnacentral:sRNA from 1 species